rnacentral:lncRNA from 1 species
GGUGGGGAUCUGGACUGUUUACAAGAUAAUAGAACAUUCUCAAAUUGAAUGGGGUCGGGGUGACCCCAGGGACUUCCCUUCAAUUUCAUUUGAUUUGUUGUAUUGUCCCCUACAAGAAUAUAUAUGGUUUAGGGGUGGGGAUCUGGACCAUUUACAAGAUAAUAGAACAUUCUCAAAUUGAACGGGGUGGGGGUAACCCCUAUGGACUCUCCCUAUAUUUCAUUUGAUGUUUUAUUAUUCCAUACAAGAAUAUAUAUAUAUGGUUUAGGGGUGGGGAUAUGGACCGUUUACAAGUUUUCAAUCAAGAGGGGUCGGGGUGACCCCCUAGGGACUUUCCUUUUAUUUCUUUUCAUUUGUUUUAUUGUCCCCUACAAGAAUAUAUAUGGUUUAGGGGUAGGGAUCUGGACUGUUUACAUUAUAUUAGCACAUUCUCAAUUUG